rnacentral:lncRNA from 1 species
CGCCACCCGUCUGGGGCCCGAAAGGAGGGAGCUUUCCCUCUGUCCCCCAGCCUUUGGACUGUCACCAAACAAGCCAUUCGUUCACCAAAUACUUUUUAAGCGCCUACCAUGUGCCUGACAAGGGAUAUGUAACGGUGAGAAAAACUAGGUGUGGUCCAGGCCCUUCAGGGACUCAGGGGCUCGUGGAAGAAGUGGAUAUUGAAGUACUUAUCACACAAAGGAGGAUAAAAGUACGAUAGCGAUAUCUACCACGAAGCUGUUGUUCCACACCAGAACCAAAUGAGCGCAAGAUCUGACAAAAAAAAAAGGUUCAUCUUUUAUUCUUCCAAACACUUUCAUUUAAAUCAAGAGGAUGGGAUGUGGUUAUUACUGUGUUUUUAGACAAAAUCAAUGGUUUCUGGCUCUGAGAUGUUGCAUACACCCUCUCAGUCCCUGUAUCCUGAGAUGGAGUCACCUGAGAAUCCACAGCAAGUCCUAACCAGGGAUGGGUCUGGGUGAUUAAGGAAGAUUGGCUUCAGAACUGGGCCAGGGGCACUGCUUUGCUUUUGCUGUUUUGAUCAGCUCUCUGCCUGCAGGAGACGAGGAAAACCAAUGGGAACAGAAAUUGCCUGUCUGCUCCGCUCUGGUUGAAGAAACCAGUCCGACUGUCUCUGAGGCUAUGGAGCAGUCCAUGAAGAAUGAAAGCCCUCUGCCAGGCAUGUUGGCUCACACCUGUAAUACCAGCACUUUGGGAGGCCGAGGCAGGUGGAUCACUUGAAGUCAGGAGU